AUUGAACGCUGGCGGCAGGCUUAACACAUGCAAGUCGAGCGGGGGAAGGUAGCUUGCUACCGGACCUAGCGGCGGACGGGUGAGUAAUGCUUAGGAAUCUGCCUAUUAGUGGGGGACAACACCUCGAAAGGGAUGCUAAUACCGCAUACGUCCUAUGGGAGAAAGCAGGGGAUCUUCGGACCUUGCGCUAAUAGAUGAGCCUAAGUCGGAUUAGCUAGUUGGUGGGGUAAAGGCCUACCAAGGCGACGAACUGUAGCGGGUCUGAGAGGAUGAUGCGCCAAACUGGGAGUGAGACACGGCCCAGACUCCUACGGGAGGUAGCAGUGGGGAAUAUUGGACAAUGGGGGGAACCCUGAUCCAGCCAUGCCGCGUGUGUGAAGAAGGCCUUAUGGUUGUAAAGCACUUUAAGCGAGGAGGAGGCUACUUUAGUUAAUACCUAGAGAUAGUGGACGUUACUCGCAGAAUAAGCACCGGCUAACUCUGUGCCAGCCGCCGCCGUAA
rnacentral:rRNA from 1 species